rnacentral:lncRNA from 10 species
UACUCUAAGCAGUUCGCAGGGAGCAUCUUUCAGCAGCUGAAACAGCUUUGCGGCCUUGCUGUAAUGAAGAUCUGCCAGCACCCGGUGUUGUUUCCUAAGGUGUUCAUCACCAACCUAGAACCAAACCAAAACAAGCAACAAAUCCUUCACGAGACCGUCCAGGCUGGACUUGAACUCCUUCCUCGGCUGAAGUGAUCCUCCUGCCUCAGCGUCCUGAAUAGGAAGUGGAGCCAGAAUCCACAGAUGUCAUUAUCCAUCUGCACACUUUGUUUACUACCCAGAAGGCAAGAAUAUUGCAUUUUAAAAGUGCCCGGACUUUUGUUCUUUCUUAUCACAAAUGACUUGGGAAGCUCCGACCACUCAUGUUUACCCCGAGUGAAAGUCCCAUUCAAAGCCUUGCUUCCUGGAGAGCUUUGAGAUUCUGGUACAAAAGGCAUUUUAUAAGCACAAAGUGGAAAAGCAUCAUUCAUAUUCAUUUGCUGCUGCGGCAUUUCUCCCUGGAAUCUUCCUCUUGUCUGUCAACAUUGGGCAAAAGGACUGGCCUCAUCUACAUUACAGAUAUCCU